UACGUAGGGGGCAAGCGUUGUUCGGAAUUACUGGGCGUAAAGGGCGCGUAGGCGGCACGGCAAGUCGGGAGUGAAAGCCCGGGGCUCAACCCCGGAGGGUCUUCCGAAACUGCCGAGCUAGAGUGCGGAAGAGGCAACCGGAAUUCCCAGUGUAGCGGUGAAAUGCGUAGAUAUUGGGAAGAACACCAGAGGCGAAGGCGGGUUGCUGGGCCGACACUGACGCUGAGGCGCGAAAGCGUGGGGAGCAAACAGG
rnacentral:rRNA from 1 species